CUUGACCGAACCGAGGUACAGCGGCUGUCCGUCGGCGCGCUCGCGCCCGUAGGUCGCCAGCAGGGCCUGGGCCUC
rnacentral:antisense_RNA from 1 species